GAGAGAUGGUGCUGACGCGUGUCAUAUUCGCCCAGCAAUUCCUUUUUUUGGUUAUUUUCAUUUCCAUCUUUAUUUAUCUCAUUUUACAAUUUUUUACUUCUAUAAUGAAAAGUGCAUAUUCUUUGAAUUUUACUUCCUACAAUACAUUUGCGUGCACACCUUUUUUUUGUAUUUAUUUAUUUAUGAUCUAGACUUAUGAUCCAUGCUCAUAUGACACUACUAUAUAUGAGUUACAAUAAUGUUCGUCCAUCGCGAUAAAAAAAAAAAAAACUCAAAACCGUUAAUUAAAGAAGCGUAACGACGUCCAAAGACACCACCGAUGUCGAGAUCGAGACCGGCAAGGUCAGGUUUUUGCUAGCACCCCACGCACCGCCCAUGUGCAAAAGAUAGUCUGUGUCACCGGUAAGGCUUUUGCUUGGUGAAUUUCGCACAAGGGCACUUGGAUGCGAAGGUCAUUGACGUGCUUCCUAUAUAGCGCCGCCAUGACUCCAAGUGCCCGGCUUCCUCCUCCACGCGGCAACGUGUACCACCAUCACCUACCUUGAGGUAUUAGUGCCAAGAAAAAGUUGUCGACGACCCUGCCCCCAUCUGCUAACUUAGAUCGAUGAUCCCAACUUUUCACUCUGACAUUAUACUACUCUAGUUCGGCAUCCGCAGUGAUGCUAACCAUUCCCUCCAUUUUAAAUUAUAAGACAUUUCAAUAAUAUUGUAGAGUAAAAGUAGUUCAAGUUUGACCAAAAUUAUAAAGAGAAUAUUACUAGUUGGUAUAGAAAAUAUUAUUAUUCUAUUACAUAAAUUUUGGUCAAAUUUGAGAUGUUUUGACUUUCUAAGAUUCUUAAUUUGGAAUGAAGAGAGUACGUAGUUAGCUUACGUGGAGAUGAGAGAAAAAAAACAAAGACUAUUUUAUACAAUCUUAUUUUAUAUGUACUAUUGAACUCACAUGUCAAUCUCUCACAUAGUCACAUUCUUGGACUGCAUGAAAUAAUUAGGCUAUCCGAUUUAAACCCACGCCUAACCAUUCGUGAUGAGCUCAAUCUUAAAAACCCACUCAAUCCACCAACUAGAUUAUUCCAACCACACCAAUCCAGUCCGCUGUGCUAUGUGAACCCAAGCUCGUGUGCGGGCUGAGCUUGCAGCCAACAAGCAAACACAUUGCUGUAUUUUUGGACUAAGCAGAAGGCAGCAGCAGCCUAGUCGAUACAUCCGGGGUCCGUGGCCUGUGGGCUUCAUGAUGGCUUGGAAUCGGAUCAGAACCCAUGGCCUGCCCGUGCCGUCGUAACCUCAAGAGGAAGAGGACGAGCAAUGAGGCGACGACAUCGUCAGAGGGUGGUGACCACGUCGACGUCGAUGACCGGAUGAAGAGGAAAAGUAAGAAGCCCGAGGCAGCGGAAGAGGAGGCCCAGCCAGCGGUCUGCGCCGGGAAGAAGAAGACCGACGAGAAGAGGAAGAGGGUGGUUACUGAGAGGCUUCCACUACCGCACAUUAGCUUUUUAAGGGCGGCUUUAGGGGCGGUUUGGCCAGCCGCCCCUACCAAAAUGUUUUCUAUAAAUGCUUUAAUUUUAGGGGCGGUUAAUAUUGAGUUGUCUUUAAAAAAAUAUUUUCAAAAUCGCAAUUUCAGACUUUAAAGAAAUACCAAAAUAUUGAAAAAAAUAAUAAUUUUAAGGAGGGCAUAUCACCAUUGAGUACGCAGUGGCAGCAGCUCGCUAAGGCACGAUCUUGUCCUCACGCAUUAGGCCUUGUUUAGAUGCGAAUUUUUUUUAGAUUUCGCUACUUAGCAUUUUCGUUUGUUUGUGGUAAAUAUUGUCUAAUCAUAGACUAACUAGGGUCAAAAGAUUUGUCUCGCGAUUUACAGGCAAACUGUGUAAUUAGUUUUUGUUUUCGUUUAUAUUUAGUGCUUAAUGCAUGUUCCGUAAGAUUCGAUAUGACGGGGAAUCUUGAAAACUUUUUUGAUUUUGGUGGAAACUAAACAAGGCCUUACUCUCACUACCACCCCACCACUAGCACAUGUGUCCAUAAUCUAUUUUGGUUCCUCAUAAAUUAUGCUCAAUUGAGUGUAAAUUGACUUUUUGAGGCCCUAAAUAAAUUUAAAUGAAAAACUUGUCAACUAUAAAGUUUCAUAAUUUUUUGAGAUCUACAACUUCUAUUUAGGUAGUUUCUCGAUCCGAGAUCAUUUAUAAAAUUUGAAUUUGAAAUUUUAAAAAUUCAAACAUAGUUUUGCAUGACAAAAUGAUUUCAAAUCAAAACGUUGUCAACUACAAAGUUUCAUAACUUUUUGAGAUCUACAACUUUUAUUUAUGUAGUUUCACCAUCCGAGGUAGUUUACAAAAUGUGAAUUUUCAAAUUUAAAACAUUCAAACAUACUUUUGUGUGAUAAAGUUUCAAAUCAAAAAGUUGUCAACUACAAAGUUUCAGAACAUUUUGAGAUCUAUAAUUGUUAUUUUGGUUGUUUUGUCAUCCGAGGUCAUUUGAAAAAUUCAAAUUUAAAAAUUUAAAAAUUCAAAGGUAGUUUUGUAUGAUAAAAUGAUCUCAAAUCAAAAAGUUACCAGCUAUAAAAUUUCAUAAUUUCUCAAGAUUUAGAAUUUUAUUUUGAUCAUUUGUUUAUCCAACACAGUGGUAGUAACAUUGCUCACAAAUCUUAGAUAUCUUAUAUAUCUCUGUUGUAGUUUCAUAAACACUACAAGCGAGAUAUAAGAUUUAUGAAUAAUGUUAAUUUUAUUUUAUAUAUGAAAAAAUGACUAAAACAAAAAUUAUACAUCUUGAUAAGUUAUACAACUUUUAUUCAUGACUUAUUUAGCCGAAAACGUUUUAUAUCCUCGGCUAGCUACCGGAUGCACAGUGAGUGGUAGCAGCCGUGCGGAAGGAUUAAAAAAUGGCCGCAUGUAACUAAGUCAACAAGAAAUCAAGAAUCGAUUUUUUACUUUUUUUUAGCAAAUCAGAAUUUUUAUUACUUACGUACCUACGAGUUAGAGUUAAAGGUCAAACCGUGUAAAUGAGGGGAGAUUUAUAUUUUUAUCAUUAUAAAGAAUGUCGUUCAAACGAAUACCAUUUUUAAAAUGUUUGUGCCUGUGCGUGUGCUCGUGCCUGGCACUACAGGAAAAUCCUACUUUGCCGAGAGCCGUGAAACAGACGCUCGGCAAAGACGGACCUUUGCCGAGCGCCAGGUCCGACGCUCGGCAAAAGCCUCUUUGCCGAGGGCCAAAAGCUGGCUGUCGGCAAAGGCCUCGUUUGCCGAGAGUAGCGCGCUCGGCAAAGAAGAGCUCUCGGCAAAGUCCCUGGCCGUCUAACGGCAGCAGCUGCCGUCCCCUUUGCCGAGCACCAAAAGUUAGGCACUCGGCAAAGGAUGGUUCUUUGCCGAGUGACAGCUUGCAGGGCCCUCGGCAAAUCCUUCUUUGCCGAGUGUCCUAUCUGGCUCUCGUCAAAGCUUUUUUAUUUUUUGUUUUUUCGAUCUGAGUUUUUUUUGAAGCUUUUUGACACUGUUUCAAACUCUAUUUUAAAGUUUGAGAGAACUUUGACUUUUUUUUGCUAUAUUUGACUGAUUUAAUUUGUUUCUUUGUGUUUUUCCGGAUAAUUUAAAUUUGAACUACACGUACAUGAAAUAUCGCAACGCAGUGUUUCAAAAAAUGAUAUUCAUGGUAUUAUGUAUAUUCUGAGUCCGUAUCUAGGACCUCACACGAAUGCCGACAGCGGUUAUUUAAAAUCAUAUUUCUGGCGGACCGGCUGCUCGUGCCUGUGCCUGUGCCUGUGCCUGGAGCCACUAAUGCCCGUGCUCGCAAACAGGAGUGAGCGCCACCACCGGGUGCGGCGGAGCUGCUUGUGUUGGAGGUAGAAGAUGAAGCUCACAAAUGGGACCCACCUUACAGUGAGAGGAGCUGCGAGACCUGGCUGUCGGAGAGCGAGAGAGAGAAAAGCAAGUAGGGGUAGGAUGGACUUUUGACAUGCCCUGACCGACGUGUCAAGCUAGUGUGACGUGCCACAUAUGCAAAGAUAGAAAUUUUGAUGUUCAAACUUCUCUCGGCAAUUUUGUAAUUGCCAUUCUAAGGCCUUGUUUAGUUUUAAAAAAUUUUACAAAUUUUUUUUCAGAUUUUAUAUCACAUCGAAUCUUUGCGACAUAUCUAUGAAACAUUAAAUAUAGAUAAAAGAAAUAAAUAUAAUUAAUUACACCUGUAAUUUGCGAGACAAAUUUUUUGAAUCUAGUUAGUCCAUAAUUGGACAAUAUUUGUUAAAUACAAAGAAAGAUGCUACAUUGUCCAUUUUAAAAAAAAAAAUGGAAUAAGGAUGAUAGUCGGAUGAUUGGCAAUGGUAAAUAUGUAAAUUUCUGUAUCCGAUUCCGAUAGCGCCUAGGGUUGCCCGGCAGAGCCUCUGCGGGGCAAUAUAUGCAUACUUUAUAUACGUAUAUGUCUCUCACUCACCUUCCGUGUCCAAAGCCGCCGACAGUCGCCGCAUCCCCGCAAUCCAGAUAUAGAUCCCCUUUUUGCUUCGAGACGAGAGGUCGGGGAGAGAGGUUAGGACUCGAUCGAUCGCGGCUGCUACGAUGGCGGGCAGUGACCGAGAUCUCAAGAUUGAGGCUGCUGCGAUUGGGGAUGGUGUCCGCGAUCUCAUGAUUGAGGCUGCUGCGAUGAGGGGAGGUUUCAAUAUGGGGCCUGCUGCGGUGGGGGGAGGUGACCGAGGUCUCAAGAUGAAGAAGAAGCCGAUACGACCGGAGGAGGGUGGGAUCUUGAGGCUGAAGAAGGAGGCGAAGGCGGCGUGGGAUCACUGGUUCCUGACUCGCAGGAAGUUGAGGAAGGCCGCGCAGCCGCAGGAGGAGGACACGCAGGCACCCAGGGUGGGGAAUAAGAGGAAGAAGGUUGUCAAGAUCAAGCUGCCUAAGGAGUACGUCGAUCACAUGGCCGCAUGUCCCUUCACGAUCUGCGCAGACUUCUCUGACGAGGAGCUUGCCCGGCGUACCCCAGAGUUCCGCGAAAUCUACGCUGCUGGGAGGUUUCUCGAGACCAAGAAUCGUGAGUACUGGAAUGCCCUUAUCGCUCAGUACAAUGAAUUGGGCUAUGCUGAGGAUGAGAAUGAGGUCACGGAUGAUGAUGAUGAUGAUGAGGAGGAGGAGGAGGUGGUGAAGAAUUAGCGCAGGAAGCAAAAAGGGUUCUAUAGUUUAUAUAUAAUUUAAGUAGUCUGUGACUCUCUGUUCGUGCAAGAUAUAGCCUAAGUUAAGAGCAGUGUUGUUUUCUGUGUGACUCACCAUAAGUGUCUGCUCAUUACUAUGAUGUAAUCAUCACUGUGGUGUUAUUUAUAUUCCCAGUGUUAUUAUCACACCUUGCAAUUUGUGAAUUCGUGUAUGCUAGAAUGCUGGUUUAUAAUUCUUGCUGUUAUACUCCUAUAUUUUGCUCUUAGCUGUCUAGUAAUAUUUUAUUUGGUAGUAUGUCUAGCUCUGAACAAUUUUCUGUUUAGUCACUCAAAGCAAAAGCAUAUAAAUGAUAAGAAAUGCAUGGCAGCUCAGCUACUAAGUAUUGCAACUGUGUUAACUGACCAUAGGGAUUUUGCUGGCCAAGCUAAUCCAACAGACCUGCUACAGAUUUUUUUUUCUUGUUAUAUGUACUUAUUCUGCUGUUUCUGUUGAGU
rnacentral:lncRNA from 1 species